GAAUGGCGUAAUGAUGGCCAGGCUGUCUCCACCCGAGACUCAGUGAAAUUGAACUCGCUGUGAAGAUGCAGUGUACCCGCGGCAAGACGGAAAGACCCCGUGAACCUUUACUAUAGCUUGACACUGAACAUUGAGCCUUGAUGUGUAGGAUAGGUGGGAGGCUUUGAAGUGUGGACGCCAGUCUGCAUGGAGCCGACCUUGAAAUACCACCCUUUAAUGUUUGAUGUUCUAACGUGGACCCGUAAUCCGGGUUGCGGACAGUGUCUGGUGGGUAGUUUGACUGGGGCGGUCUCCUCCUAAAGAGUAACGGAGGAGCACGAAGGUUGGCUAAUCCUGGUCGGACAUCAGGAGGUUAGUGCAAUGGCAUAAGCCAGCUUGACUGCGAGCGUGACGGCGCGAGCAGGUGCGAAAGCAGGUCAUAGUGAUCCGGUGGUUCUGAAUGGAAGGGCCAUCGCUCAACGGAUAAAAGGUACUCCGGGGAUAACAGGCUGAUACCGCCCAAGAGUUCAUAUCGACGGCGGUGUUUGGCACCUCGAUGUCGGCUCAUCACAUCCUGGGGCUGAAGUAGGUCCCAAGGGUAUGGCUGUUCGCCAUUUAAAGUGGUACGCGAGCUGGGUUUAGAACGUCGUGAGACAGUUCGGUCCCUA
rnacentral:rRNA from 1 species